rnacentral:rRNA from 1 species
CAGCAGCCACGGGAAUACAGAGGGUGCAAGCGUUAAUCGGAAUUACUGGGCGUAAAGCGCGCGUAGGUGGUUUGUUAAGUUGGAUGUGAAAUCCCCGGGCUCAACCUGGGAACUGCAUCCAAAACUGGCAAGCUAGAGUAUGGUAGAGGGUGGUGGAAUUUCCUGUGUAGCGGUGAAAUGCGUAGAUAUAGGAAGGAACACCAGUGGCAAAGGCGACCACCUGGACUGAUACUGACACUGAGGUGCGAAAGCGUGGGGAGCAAACAGGAUUAGAUACCCCCGUAGUCCCUGUCUCUUAUAC